GCAGAGAGGAAGGAAGUAGGGCUUCCUGCAGCUGCCUACCCAGAGGAAAAAGGAAUUAGAUAAAGUGAAAGGUAUUUCUCAGAGAUGCACCCAAAGCUGCUUCUGUUUCCUUGUAUCCUUUUUAAGGGUCCAGUUUUUAGGACAAUAUGAUCCAAAGUGACUAAAGGGAAUUAACUACGUCCUUGAGGAAUUCCUACUAGGUCAGGGCCAGAAGCGCUCGUCUAGCCAUAUGUGGAAGAUCCUCAAGUUGUGAGAUCAGUGGUUGGCAUGCUUCUCCACUUCUGGAAGCCGGGCAUGGCUAACCAACCUGGGAUUUCUACCAGGGGACUUUGACAGACGAAACAGUCCAGGUGAGCUCUGGAGCUUCAGAAGAAACUGGCCUUGGAGAGAAAAGAAAGCUCAGAGUUGAGUGCACAUGAUUUGCUACACGUAUGGAUCAUACUGAAGAGAAGAAGUUGCUAAAAGCAAGCAAGAAGGAGCUAGGAAGAAAACAGGGUGUUUGGGAGACAAGAGCUUUCAGAUUAAACCUCUUCAGUGGAGAGCAUGGAAACUUCAGCUGAUUCAUUGGCCUUAAUGAAACACCAUGGAAAACAAUGACUAUUCCUAUACAGGCAGAGGGGACCAGGGACUCCAUGCACAGCUGUGCUGGUUAUACUCUGCAGAAAGACUCUCAGGCAAGUGAAAAGGAUUGAAAUCCAGCCAACAUCUGUUGGGAAGAGGCUACAUCAAAGGUGCCCUAACGUACAGAGGUGGCCCAGUGAGCAGUCUUCAGGUUCUUAGGAAGACUGAUAUCUUAGCUACUUUUCUCUCAUUGCUGAGACAAAAUACCUGACACCCAAAGUUAAAGGGGGAACAGUUUAUUUAGCUCACAGUUUGUUGAGGUUUCAGUCCAUAACCAGCAGGCUCCAAGAAAGGGUGGCACAUGGUAGAGGGGUAAAUAUUCACGGCAGUAAAAGACAGCAAGAUUGAGAGAGAGAGGAGGGAGAAAGGGAGAGAGGGAGAAAGGGAGAG
rnacentral:lncRNA from 1 species